rnacentral:rRNA from 1 species
AGUGAACGCUGGCGGUAUGCCUAACACAUGCAAGUCGAACGGCAGCACAGUAAUAGCUUGCUCUUACGGUUGGCGAGUGGCGGACGGGUGAGGAAUACAUCGGAAUCUACUUUUUCGUGGGGGAUAACGUAGGGAAACUUACGCUAAUACCGCAUACGACCUACGGGUGAAAGCAGGGGAUCUUCGGACCUUGCGCGAUUGAAUGAGCCGAUGUCGGAUUAGCUAGUUGGCGGGGUAAAGGCCCACCAAGGCGACGAUCCGUAGCUGGUCUGAGAGGAUGAUCAGCCACACUGGAACUGAGACACGGUCCAGAGUCCUACGGGAGGCAGCAGUGGGGAAUAUUGGACAAUGGGCGCAAGCCUGAUCCAGCCAUACCGCGUGGGUGAAGAAGGCCUUCGGGUUGUAAAGCCCUUUUGUUGGGAAAGAAAAGCAGCAGGUUAAUACCCCGCUGUUCUGACGGUACCCAAAGAAUAAGCACCGGCUAACUUCGUG